rnacentral:lncRNA from 1 species
GAAAGAAUUUCUUGUUGCAGGCGGUGAAGAUUUUAAACUUUAUAAGUAUGAUUAUAAUAGUGGAGAAGAAUUAGAAUCCUACAAGGGACACUUUGGUCCUAUUCACUGUGUGAGAUUUAGUCCUGAUGGAGAACUCUAUGCCAGUGGUUCAGAAGAUGGAACAUUGAGACUAUGGCAAACUGUGGUAGGAAAAACGUAUGGCCUUUGGAAAUGUGUGCUUCCUGAAGAAAUUGCUUCAGAGAAUUCAGAUUGCAUCUUUCCUUCAGCUCCUGAUGUUAAGGCCUGAGCGUCAAUCAUAUGUGCAGUUAGUAUACAACUGACUAAAACAAGCAAGCAGAGAAAAGCAUCAGCCUUCCAGAGUUACUGUCUGCUUAAGGCAGAAACAGCAGUAAAUAAUGAGGAAAAUGAAUUAGCUCCAGUGCUGGAACAACUAACUAACUUGGUGUUACCUGUAAGUGAAAACUCAAGUGUCAGAUGAAGGGAGGUGGAGUUAUCCUCUUAUAGUACAGUGGCCUGUUAUCUUUUUAAUGAAUAUAUACAAGCCAACAUCCAAUUUCUAUUAUUACAAUUAGGGUUCUUGUAGCUGUUUAUGUUAAUAUGGAGAAGAAAACUAUAUUGGCUGAUUUUUUCUGAUCUUAAAGCAGAAUG